rnacentral:rRNA from 1 species
UUGAGCCGAAGUAAUGAUUGAUAGGAACAAUUGGGGGUGCUAGUAUCGCCGGGCCAGAGGUAAAAUUCUUUAAUUCCGGUGAGACUGCCUUAUGCGAAAGCAUUCACCAAGUGUGUUUUCUUUAAUCAAGAACUAAAGUUGAGGGAUCGAAGACGAUCAGAUACCGUCGUAGUCUCAACCAUAAACUAUGUCGACUAAGCAUUGGGCAAGUGGAUACUUCCUCAGCACUUCACGAGAAAUCAAAGUUUUCGGACUCAGGGGGAAGUAUGCUCGCAAGAGUGAAACUUAAAGGAAUUGACGGAAGGGCACCACCAGGUGUGGAGCCUGCGGCUUAAUUUGACUCAACACGGGGAAACUUACCAGGGCCAGACAUAGCCAGGAUUGACAGAUUGAAGUUCUUUCUUGAUUCUAUGCAUGGUGGUGCAUGGCCGUUCUUAGUUGGUGGAGUGAUUUGUCUGGUUAAUUCCGAUAACGAACGAGACCUCAGCCAUCU